GACGAACGCUGGCGGCGUGCUUAACACAUGCAAGUCGAACGGAAAGGCCCUGCUUUUGUGGGGUGCUCGAGUGGCGAACGGGUGAGUAACACGUGAGUAACCUGCCCUUGACUUUGGGAUAACUUCAGGAAACUGGGGCUAAUACCGGAUAGGAGCUCCUGCUGCAUGGUGGGGGUUGGAAAGUUUCGGCGGUUGGGGAUGGACUCGCGGCUUAUCAGCUUGUUGGUGGGGUAGUGGCUUACCAAGGCUUUGACGGGUAGCCGGCCUGAGAGGGUGACCGGCAACAUGGGGACUGGGAUACGGCCCAGCUUCCUCGGGGAGGAAGAAGUGGGAAUAUUGCACAAUGGGCGGAAGCCUGAUGCAGCAACGCCGCGUGCGGGAUGACGGCCUUCGGGUUGUAAACCGCUUUCGCCUGUGACGAAGCGUGAGUGACGGUAAUGGGUAAAGAAGCACCGGCUAACUACGUG
rnacentral:rRNA from 1 species